AAGGAGUCUAACAUCUAUGCGAGUGUUUGGGUGUCAAGCCCGAGCGCGUAAUGAAAGUGAACGGAGGUGGGAACCCGCAAGGGUGCACCAUCGACCGAUCCUGAUGUCUUCGGAAGGAUUUGAGUAAGAGCAUGGCUGUUGGGACCCGAAAGAUGGUGAACUAUGCCUGAAUAGGGCGAAGCCAGAGGAAACUCUGGUGGAGGCUCGUAGCGAUUCUGACGUGCAAAUCGAUCGUCAAAUUUGGGUAUAGGGGCGAAAGACUAAUCGAACCAUCUAGUAGCUGGUUCCUGC
rnacentral:misc_RNA from 1 species